rnacentral:lncRNA from 1 species
CGAGUGGUGAUCACAUCUGCUCUAUAAAAAGCUCUCUAUGGGAAGCAAUAGAGGAGGCAGGGAGACUCAGGAAGUGGCAAUUGCAGUUGUCCAGGUGGGAGAGGGUUAUCCACACUGGAGAGGUCUCAGAGCCCCUCGUCCAGGAACCUCUCUCUGACCCUCUACCCCACCACAGACUCAUUGGGAGGAUACACCAAGUGGUCAUCAUAAGGUACAAUCAGAGGAUCCCAGAGAUGCCUGGCCCAGCUGAAGACAAACGAGCACUCAUGAAAAUAGGAACUGGAUUACUCAACUGUACCCCCAGAUCCUGGCCCAAGGUUGGGGACAAUGUAGUCAGUGUGGACACCAUCAAUCAGCCCUUCUCCGUUGUUGUGGACGAACCAGCAGACAACCUUCGUGCCGAUGCUGGCAUCCUUUCUGUAGUCUUUCUGGGAGCCCCUGGGGAAAGAAGAGAGAUGCUG